GAAUGGCAAGAAUGAUGAAUCAAUUAGAUGUGUGAAAGGAGAUAAUCCUUGUGAACUCAACUUUUGAGGCAUUUAAUUUCCUGACUUGCCACUA